CCUACGGGUGGCAGCAGUGAGGAAUAUUGGUCAAUGGACGAGAGUCUGAACCAGCCAAGUAGCGUGAAGGAUGACUGCCCUAUGGGUUGUAAACUUCUUUUAUUUGGGAAUAAAAUGUUCCACGUGUGGGAUUUUGUAUGUACCAUAUGAAUAAGGAUCGGCUAACUCCGUGCCAGCAGCCGCGGUAAUACGGAGGAUCCGAGCGUUAUCCGGAUUUAUUGGGUUUAAAGGGAGCGUAGGUGGAUUGUUAAGUCAGUUGUGAAAGUUUGCGGCUCAACCGUAAAUUGCAGUUGAAACUGGCAGUCUUGAGUACAGUAGAGGUGGGCGGAAUUCGUGGUGUAGCGGUGAAAUGCUUAGAUAUCACGAAGAACUCCGAUUGCGAAGGCAGUUCACUGGACUGCAACUGACACUGAGGCUCGAAAGUGUGGGUAUCAAACAGGAUUAGAUACCCUUGUAGUC
rnacentral:rRNA from 1 species